rnacentral:lncRNA from 1 species
AACGAAAAAGCAUAAAAUUAUCGGAAAGAAAACAAAGAAAAAGCUAAGACAGAAUUGCAGGAAUCAGUAAUGAAAGACAUAAACAUUAUACUCCACAACAGCAUCUCCUGUUUUGAGAUUGAAGGUGUGAGUCCUCGCCUGAGCAUACCCACGAGCAAAUCGGAAUAGCCCACUACCGCCGACGAUCGGCAUCUCCCGCACCUUUGAAAAGAUGGUGUUUCGGCCCAAAACACUGAGAGUACUGCCGUUGUACUUGCCCUCCAUGAAAGCAAAAUUUAGCACCAUCAACAAGCCCAUUUCCUCCUGCGACGCCGAUGCGUAUAUUCCUUGGGCUCUUCCUACCAGUUUGGAGCUGGGCUCGGGUCCCACAGUCAAGAGAUCGUCCAUCAUAAACACCGCGCCGAACACCGUCGCCGACUUGUUGGUCAUGGCGGCCUCAGCGACUCUCACGGCGGUGGGUUUCGGGCUGCUGAUGAUGUCGUGGAAGUAGAAGUGGAGGUGGCUGAGCUUCUCUUCCUUGAGGCCCAUCGAUUCCGGAGAAAGGUUCCUGGAGAAACGGUGGGAUUCCUCGCUGGAGCCGGAGGCCGCGACGGCGGCAAUGGUGGAGAAGAAAAUAGUGAUAAGGAUGAGGAGUUUUGCCAUCGUGGAGAAGAAACGAAGAUGAAAAAGUUUGUGUCUACUUGCGCAACCACACCUUCUUAUAGAUAUAUGAACGAAGAAAAAAAAAAUAGCUUCAAUAUUUCUUUCCAAAUAGUGGAGUGCAAGAUUUCAUAAAUCAUAUAUAUAUAUAAAUUUUUAAUUUACUUUUUUUAUUACGAAUAUUUGAUCAAUGUGUCGAGGUUUUAAUUUGAUUAAACGUUAAGUUUUUUUCAACCAAUUAAAUUAGUUUUGGUUUUUAGAAUUUAUAUCCUCUAAUCAUUUUAAAAUAUUCAUUUUAUAAAUAUAUCCACUUAAAAUCUUUUAAUACACCUAAAACAUUCUUUAUUAUUCUCAUCCACAUCUUCCUUUUUCUUUACUAUUCUCCAUAACAAACCUUGAAUUAAAAUCAUUUUGUUUGAAACUUGACUGUUAAUAAAAUAAAAUAAAAAUUGAGACAGGUUCAAAGCUAAUUUCAAUAUUUAUAUACAUUUUCUUGAUCCAUGCAUUAAUAUUAUGUUUGCACUAUAUAUUAUAUUUUAGGGCUUAUGAUUUAUAUACAUUUUGAUAAAAAAAAUUAUAAAUUGUUGUAAAUGUAAUUAAACAUAAUUAGAUAUAAUUUAGGAGUGUUUUAGAAUUGAGAAAUUUUGAAAAAGGUGAAAGAAAAAAGAAAAAAAAAAUCCAUUUUGUGGUGUCCAGAUUUGUAAGGUCAAACAUAAUAUGUUUAAAAGUAUAGUUUUAGGGGCCUGUAUAAAAAUAUAGCUUCAAACACAGUUAAGGAUGUCUUGAGGUAUAGUUUUGAAUAAUAUUUUAAUUAUUUUAUUAAGGGUCAUUUUUGUCUUAAAAAAUUCUUAAUUGAGAUUGAUAUAUAUAUAUUUAUUGUGGAUGCAAAUAUAAAUACUCAUUAAUUAAGGGAUUGAAAUAAAUAAAGACAUACUAAAGGGUAGAAUGGACUUUUCCUCUCAAAACCAUGUAAAUAAAAAAAUAAAAAAAAAGGAAGAAAUGAAUAGGAAAGCAAGGAUUCAGAUUAAAAAAAAAAAAAGAGUAAAUUUAUUUGUAUCAUUUAAAAAGAGGUAAAAAAUUUGAGACAAAGGGAAAUUAGGUGGGUUUAGAUAUAAAAAUUAAGGUAAAUAUUCUUCUUCUAUCGAUAAAAUAUGGAAAAGCUCAUGAUUGAAUCCAUUAAAAUAAAUAAAUCAAAUAAUCAAUUGAGUUGAAUUUGGAUUUCUUCAUAAAUAAAUCAAAAAACAAUUUAGUAAUCAAAAUAAAUAAUUGAGUUAAAUUUGGAUUUAUUCAUAAAUAAAUCAAAAAACAAUUUAGUUAAAUUUCUCUUAGGUAGAAUCCAUCAAAAUAACAAAUCAAAUAAACAAUUUAGCUGAAUUUCUUAACAAAUCAAAUAAACAAUUAAGUUGAAUUGGAAUUAUUCCUAAGUCUCUAGUUACUGUGAAAACUCCAUAGCUAGCAAUGACUGGCAUCUCCUUUAGCUCCGUCAGGGCGUCGUUCUGCCCUAAAACGCUAGGACUAAUGUCAAUAUAGUUGCCCCCCAUGAAAGCCAAUUAAGUUCACGACCAUCGGUAAAUCGAAUUCCUUAAGUCUACUCCUUGGGCUCUUCCCACCAGCAUGGAGCUAGGUUCAGGUCCCACAGUUAAUUCGUCUAUCAUUAACACCAAGCCUAAUAGUGUCGCCGACACGUACGGGUGGUCGAGUUCUCGAGGCUUAGGAUGUCGUGGAGGUCACUCAGCAUCUAGUGCUGGAGGCCCGAAAACAUAUAAAUUUUAACACAUAUAAUAAAUAAUAAAUCAAGAUUAUAAAAAAUAAAAUUAUUUGGCUUAGUUAGAUAUUUGAAAACACGUUAUCCUAAAAUCACUAUCAUCUCCCGUGUAAUUUUAAGAUACAACUUCAAUAGACUCAUAAUAAUAUUUCCUUAAGAGUAUGCUAGACGUGAGAAUUAAGAAGAAUCUAUAGAUGAUUAAGUUACAAAAAAAAAAAAAAACGAAUAUUUAAGAUGAAAAACACGAUUAUAUUGAAAAUUAUAAAUGAUGGCGAAGACCAUAAUGAUAUAUGGAAGCAUAUUCUUUGUAUUAGAUUUAUCUUAUUUAAUCAAUUUUGAUGAUGAUUGCAGUAUGAUCAUUGUAACUUUUUAACUAAAAUUCAAGUUAUAAAUCACGAGUUUUGUCAAUUGAGACAUUCUCGAACAUCCCAAUUAUUGGGUGUGAAUUUUCAGAGGUACCUAUCUGCAUAUGGUACCUCGGUGCUAGGCUUCUCUUUAAAGGGUACUUGGUGGGUAAUUACCUAUUUUUUGGUACCACCAAUAUAUACUUUUUGUUAAUAAGAGAUGAUCAUCAUGUACAUAAAGUGUCAUCAUAUUAAGACUCAUAAAUCCUCAGCAUUUGAAGAAGUUUAAGGUUGUUGAAUUACUUAUUAUAUAUAACAUCCAAUUCCCAACAAAAGGGUUUAUGGAAACAUAGUGGGAUUCCACACCGCCACCGAUGGAGAAGAAGAAUAUUGUGAAAGAAGAUUAGGGUUUUAGGCAUAGUGGAUAAAAAGCAGAGUAGAAAAGCAAAAUCUAUCUGUUGGAGUGGGCUUGUUAUCAAAGCAUGGUUUUAAAUAAUAUGUAUUGAAUACAACUUUCAAAAGGUGUUUGGCUUUAUUAUUAGCAAGUUUGAAGGGAUUGAAUUGCACAAUUUCAUGCAUAACGAUGAAAUCAUACUCUUCAAAUUUUGUCUAAUGAUGUUCAAGUAAUUUUCAUGAAAAUAUAAUCUAAUUAUAAACAAAUAAAAGUGGGACAAUUAAUUUUUCACCUUUUUUUCAAGCACGUCUAAAAGUCAUUCUAAAAACUAUUUGCAUAUAUAUUGUAAAACUAUUAUAAAAAAAAUAUUAUUUUAUUUUACAUAUUUAAAACUUAUUUUUAAAAUUUAAAGUAAUAAUUGUUUUUUAUAUUUCAAAUUUUUAAUCAGGUUUUAAAAAUAAUAUUUUUAUUACAGUUUCUAAUUUUAAAAACAAAAAUCAGCAAAUAUAUUCAAACCAAAAUUAAUUUUUUUCUUAAAUUUCUCAUAAAUAACUAUGAAAGAGAGGGAUUAAGGUUUUGGCCAUGGUGGAAAAUUAACAAAGAGAACGUUAAAAAAAAUAAAAAAUAGAGGGACAAGAAAAAAGGCCUAAAUAAAAUUCACAGACGGGUUAAUAUUUAUAUGUUGUUUAUAAGGCCCAAAAUUAGUUUUUCUUUAAGUUUACGUUUGGUUUCCGGAAAAUACUAAGAAAAGAAAAAAAAUGUAAAGAAAAAUAAUUUUUUUAUGGUUGUCCUAUGAAAAAUAUCAAAUAAAAUAAAAUAUAAUUAAAACUAAUUAAAAACUUAUGUAUUUUUAAAUUAUUUAUGAGUUAAAAUAAAUAAAAUGAGUUUGAAGUAAUAAAAAAAAUAAUUUAUCAACUUUUAAUCCAUUUUUUUUAUUUUCCUUCACUUUUUCUUUCAUUCUAUUUUUCCUUUAUAUUUUCUUUCCUUUACAUUUUCCUUCAAAAAUUUUGGAACCAACUAACUGAUUUUUACAAUUUUACCUCUAAUACACGCCCCAAACUUGGGGUGGUGGCCGACUGGCCGUAAGUCCUCAGGGGAAGGUGACGCUCACGUUUCUUUUCUUUUUCUUUUCCUUUUUCUUUUUUUGUCUUUUCCUUUCCUUCCAACGGCGAAAACAUUAUCCGUUAUGGACCGUUGGAUCAAAUAUGAAAGAAUAGAUGAUGCCACCUGGAAAGUAUAAAGGAAAGCAAAAUCUAACAAUGAAACAUUGACUGCUCAGAGAAAUUAAGGUCAUAAAAAAAAAAAUUAUUGAUUUAAUAAUUUAAUUUAAUUUACUAAAUAAAUUAAAUAUAUGUGAUAAAAUAAUUUAAUGAUAUAAAUUAAAAUAAAAAAUAAAUUUAAAUAAUAAAUAAAAGUAAUUAACUUAUUCUUAAAAUUAUAUUUUUAUUUUACAUUUUUACUCUCAAUUAUCCUAAUUAUUUUCAAGAUCUCUUUUGUCUUUACUCAAUCUCAUUUAUCCUAAUUAUAAUUUAUAAUGAUAAAUAUAUCAAUUUGAUAAUUUAAAAUAAAUUUUAAGUUAAUUCUAUCAAACAAUCUUAAUACUUAUAAAUAAAUUUAAGUAUAAUUUAAUUUAAAUUAUUAAGUAAUAAGUAUUAAUUUUAAUCAAAUACCCCUAAAUCUUACACUAAUUAAAGGAAAGAAAAUAAAAAAAUAUCUCUAAGUUUAGAUUUAUUUUCUAUUUUUUUAUUAGAAACUUCCAUAUAAAACCAAAUAUAUUGUAUAAAAAGUAAAGAUUUAUUUUAUAUCUUUAAAAAUUAUUUUAGAAAUUCUAAAAUUUGAGGUAAGAAUUUUUUUUAAUAUCUCAAAUUUUUAAAUAGUUUUUAAAAUUAAUAUUUUGUUUUCAACGUAAACAUUUAAGAGUUCUUGUAUAUUAUAUAAAAAUAAUUUUUUGAUUUUAAAAACAAAAGAGAACACUAUAAUUUUUAUUUUUAUUUUAAAAUAAAAAUGUUAAUAACCUUUAUUUUGCAAAAAGUUAACAAUUGGGAUAUUAAAAAAACUUUAUUAUCUUAAAUUUUUAAAUUUUUUGAAAAUAAUAUUUAAACACGUAAGAUUAACCAAUAUUUUUUCUCCAAUAGUAACCAAACUAUAAGGUUAUAUUUGGUUCCCAAAAAAUACUAAAGAAAUAAAUAAAAAAAUGCUAAAAAAAAUUAUUUUUUCAUAUUUGAUUGUCUUAUGAAAAAUAAAAAAGAAAAUUAAAUAUAACUAAUUGAAACUUAUAAAUUUUCAAACUAUUUAAUCUUUAUAUUGAUAAAUUAAAAUGAGUAUAAUUAGUUUGAAGUAGCAAAUAAAAAUAAUUUAUUGUUUUUAAAUCUAUUUUUUAUUUUCCUUCAUUUUCUAUUUUAUUCUCUAAUUUCUUUAGAAUUUUCCCCGAGCUAAAUAUAGUAUAGGUAUUUAGAGGUUUCUCAAUAGGCUUUAGAAAAUAAUAAAAUAAUUUAUUAUUAAGUUUUAGUUUUUUUAAAAAAAAAAAUAUUUAAAGGGUUUUCAAUAGUUUUAAAAAACUAAUAAAAUAAUUUUAUUAUUAAAUUUUCAAAAAAUUAAAUAAUUUUUAAAGUUGUAAAGUAAGUCCAUGUUUUUAUAUAAAGGUUUCUAUUUUUUUAUAUAGGAAUUUUUAUAUAGUUAACAAUUUUUUAAAACAUUUCUUUUACAAUAGGAAAACCAACAAAUAAAAGAAGUUGAAUUUUUUUGUCAAAAAAAAAUUGUUUCAAGUGUUAGAAAUAUUGAAAGUUAAAAUCAGAAAAAUAAUAUUAUCUUAACUUUUAUAUAGAGAUGAAAAAUUAUUUAAUUAUAUUAUUAAAUGAAUACAUAAAUAAACUCUUAUUAAAUAUGAAGAAGUCCAAACAUUUUAUUUUCCUUUAUCCUUUAAGGUCAUAUUUGGUUGACUAGAUAUAACAUGUGAUAGAAUAAAAAAAAAGAAUAUAUUAUAUUUUAUCCCAUAUUUGAUAAUUUAUUCUAUAUUAAUAUUUAACAAAACGUAAGAUAUGAUAAGUGAUCAAAUAUAUUAUCUAUCAUAUUUUUUAUAUCUCAUCGGAUAUGCAUAUUUCAUAUAUUAUAAAUUUUUUUGUUUUAUCAAUUUUUAUUUUUCAUAUUACUUAUUUUACAAAAUAAAAUUUUGUUAUUAUAAAAUUAAAUUUGUGGUUAAAAAGGAAAAACUAAUAAAAUGAUUAAUAUUAAUAUAUGCCUUAUUAUUAUAAAUGUACAUAUAUACUAAAUAACAUGAUGUAAAAAAAUUUAUUUACAAACUUUAAAUAUUUUAAUCAUGAAGAAAGUUAAACCUUAUAAUAUAAUUUUUAUUUUAAACACCCAUAAAUAAUAUAUAUUUCAUUUUUUUUACAAACUAGAUAUAAAUAUAAAAUAACAUAACAUAUUUUAUUGGAUAUGCAUUUAUUUCCUAUCCAACAUGAUAUGAUUUCCUAAUAUAUACAUAUUUUAUCUCAUCCUAUCAUAUCCGUUAUCUUAUUUGUAACGUGUUUUUAAUAUCACCAACAUUGUAAUAGAUCUUAUGGCUUGUGCGUUGUGGUGGAUAGAUCAUUUAUUAUAAUUGGUUAUAUGUGUGAAACUAAGGUUUGGUUAAUCUUGAUUUUGAUGAUAAUAAAACAAGGUUUAUAACUAAUGAUUAUAUUUCAAGUGUGAUUAGGUAAGACGAUUUUCAAAUUUGCAAUCACAAAGACAAAUCAAGCCAAAGAGAAAUCAUGAAGAAGAAGACCACCUCAAAGAGAAGUGUUUUUCAAGACUUAAGCUUCAUAAGAUCUCUUUGUAAGGUUGUUGGUGUACUAGGAUUUUCAUGCAUUACAUUCUUUACUUAUGCACCAAAAUCAUCCAAAAGUUAUUUUGUUUUAAAUAUUUUAAGAAUUGGAUGAUUUCAUGUUUUUCAACUAAAACCUUGUGUUAAAUGUUUUUCAAACUUAUUUUAAAAGGUUUUAAGUUGAAAAAGUUGGUUGUUGAGCCAAAAAACGGCUCAACCGGUUGAACCGGGUGAGGAACCGGUCGAUCGCAAGCUCAACCGGUCGAGGUCCGGGUCGACCCAUAGCUCAACCGGUCGAGGCUCGAGUAGACCCCCAGCUCAACUGGUCGAGGGUGCAAAAAACUUUCUUUCUUCCAAAACGGUUGUUCAACCGGUCAAGGUUGAACCUCAACUGGUUGAAGUCCGGUCAAGGUCCGUUUGAGGCCCAACGGUCACCUGCCAAGCAUUAAAUGCUAACAGUUAGUCAACCGAUCGACCCCUAACUCGAUCGGUCGAACCCCCAAACAGUUAGUUUGAUUUUUCUCUUCUAUAAAAAUGCUCCAAUCUUCAUUGUUUAAUAAGUUUAACAUUUCCAAAUCUUUCUUAAUUAUAUUUGAGUCUUGGAAGAGUGUUUUUUAGUACACCAUUGUUCUAAAACUUGCAUAUCCUUAGUGCACCAUUCAAUCCUAGUUUUCUUGUAUCAUUUGAGCUUAAAGUUCUUGUACUAGGAUUUUUGAGAGAUCAUUUUAUUUGUAAAUCCUUGAGAGGAAGUUGUUCAAGAGUGAGAUAUCUCUUGAGAAGUGUAAAGGGUGUUUGGAGCCAAAAGCUCAAGAGGGUGAAUUGGAACCAUAAUCCAAUUGGAUUGCUUGAAGGCUUGGUUUGGAAGCCUUGAAUUAGUGGAACCUCAAGCUCAGGAUUGAAGCUAGAAGAGAGUGGAUGUAAGCCGGGUUGCGCCGAACCACUAUAAACUCUUGUGUUUGCAUUAUCUCUUUACUACUCUUUAAUUUAUAUGCAAUUGUCUAUACAUUACUUAUUAUAUACUUGCAUAUAACUGUCUCUUGCAUUCACUUGUUUAAAUUUGCGAAAAGAGACUAUCACCCUAUUCCUCCCCCCGUCUAAGGUGAUUACCAUAGGUUGGAUUAACCUAAUAUUCCUAACAAUAUGGAUAAAAUGAAUAUCGAUUUUUUUUUAAUAAAUAUUUUGUUCCUUCAAAAUUUUGACAUGUUUAAAUUAGCAAAACAUGUGGAAGAAAAAAGUAAAUGAAUUUAGAAAAAUAAACAGAUGAAUUGAAAUUUUUCCAUACAUAAUGUCCAAUAGUAAAAAACGAGAAAACAUAAAUAAAAGCCUCUAAUCAUUGACAUUAUUGGAAAGAAAACAAAGAAAAGGCUAAGACGAGUUACAAAGAUCAAUAAUGUGAGACAAACAUUAUACUCCACAACAACAUUUCAUGUUUUGUUAUUAAGGGUUGGAGUCCUCGCCUCAGCAUACCCACAAGCAAAUCAGAAAACCCACAGUAAUUCCCGGGUUUUUAAAGACACGUUAGAUUCUUGAAGCAUAAAUUCUUUUAUAAAAUUGUGAGUCAAUUAGUAAAAAAGAGUGGUGAAGAUCCACAUAUUAGUAUUUAAUUGGGAGAGAUUUUGAAAAAAUUGGUCAAAAAUUAAUAGUUUGAAAAUUUUGUCACAUCAAAUGUAAAGAGUGAGAAUUUCAAAAAUUAAAUUUAGAUUUGGAGAAAAAAUUUAACCAUCAAAUAAUUGAGAUUAGAUUUUGAAAAUUUGAAUAUUAAGUAUGUUACAUGAAUUAAUUUAAUUAUUAUCGGAUAAUUAUCAGAGAACCAUAGGAAGAAAAAUUUAAUAAAAAAUUAUAUUAUAUCGAAUUGUUAUAAUGGAUAAUUAAAAAGAAAUUGAAUUUAAUUUUUAUAAUUGGAAUUAAACUUUAUAGAAUUACAAAACAUCAAACGAAAUUGAAUUGAAAUUAAAUUAAGAUAAAAUUUAAAAUAUAUGAAUUUAGAAAAAAAAAAUAUACAAAGAGAUAAAUUAAUUAAAUGUGAAUUUAUGGAAUUAAGUUUUAGUAUAUUAUUUAAAUUUUUGUUGGUAAAUAAAUAUUGAUAAAAUUAACAGGUUAAAGGUUAUUACAAAUUUCAACUUCUUGGUUGUUGAAAAAUUAUUUUAUGGAAUUGAAUGUUGUUAAUAGUCAAUUAUAUUAUAUUUUAAGUGAACUUUAGAGUAAAAAUGUUUCACGUAAUUAAAGUCAAAUUAUAUUUUUUUGAAAAACAAGUUUAUAGUAAAUUUAAUUAUGAAUACAGUAAUAUUUUUCUCAAGGUGAAAAAUUAUAAGUUGUGUAUAAUUUAUAAUUAUGGAAUGAAAAUUAAAGAAUGAUGGUUUUAAUUUAUUGAGAAAUGGACACAUAUGACAUUUUGGGUUUUGUUUUAAUAAGCAUAUAUAUAUAUAUAAGGAAGUGGGCCAAAUGGAUGGAAGCUAAAAGGGAAAAAUAUAAAAUAAAUGAGAGAAAUGGGAGAGAUGCGGUCGACUGAGAGUGGGAAAAGACUCGCCAGCUUUGGGAUGCCAAUGAAGUCUAUUUUGUGUAAAAUUUUAAAAUGAUAUUCUAUUCAACGUGAGAAACACUCUUACGAAGUCCAAUUUUCAUUUCAAUGGUUAGAUUUUCAAAUUUAAGAUAGGGAGACUUAACCCUAUAACUUUUAUUUAAUGCAUUUUUAUUUAAAAAAAUUAUAAAUAUCGUUGUUUGAAGUUAAAUAAGUAAUAUUUGUAAAAUGGGAAAUUUUAUUGGGUGAUUUAGGCAUUUUCUUUAGAAUUUUUUUAUAACGAGUAAUUUAAAUUGUGGAAGAUGAAUGUGUUUGGUUAUUAAAAAUUAUUGGGAUUAUUGAGAAUAAAUAAAAUUGUGGUAGAAAUUAUGUUUGAUUGAUAUUGGGAUUAUGGAGAAUUUAUUAAGAUGUUUUUGAUAAUUUAAUUAUCAAAAAUGAUUGUGUUUGGUUAUUAAAAAUUAUUGGGAUUAUUGAGAAUAAAUAAAAUGAUGGUAGAAAUUAUAUUUGAUUGAUAUUGGGAUUAUUGAGAAUUUAUUGGGAUGUUUUUGGUAAUUUAAUUGUGGGAAAUUGUUGUAUUGGUUAUUAAAAUUAUUGAUAUUAUUAGGAAUAAAUAAAAUGAUGAUAUAAAUUUGGGUUUUUGUUAAUAUUUAAAUUAUUGAAAAAUUUUCCUUAAAUGUUGUGGUGGCUUGAUUAUGGAAAAUUGUUGUAUCAGGUGUUAAAAUUAUUGAGAUUAUUGGAGAUAAAUAAAUUAUGACAUAAAUUGCAUUUUUGUUGAUAUUUGCAUUGGUGGGAAUUUUCUUGGAUAUGUGGUGUUAUGUAAUUGAAGAAAAAAUUUGUUAUAUUGGUUGUUGGAAAUUAUCAUGGUUUUAAAAAUCGGACCAGACCGACCGGUCUCGAUUCUGGUCCGGUUCGGUCAAUUGGACCAGAAAUAUAUCAAAUCGGAAUUAGACCUGUGGAAUCGGCGGUCUGACUGGUGAACCGGACAAACCGGCCGGUUCCAUUCAAAUCAGACGGUUCAAUUACAUUUUUUUUUUUUAAAUUUUUUUUACAGUGAUCUGCACCGAAAGUGAAGAAGCUGUCUCUCCCAACGCGCCACAACAACGACGCCAGCUCCCACUAGCUGUCUCUCACACCGCUGCAACCAUCCCUCCUCUUCUUCCCUUCGCUGCAAAACCCCCUCCCGCACCGCAAACCCUCCAUGAAUGAAAGCACAGUUCAGAUUGAUAGCGACCUAAAACAAGUAAAAGAAAAGCAAGAAUCUUUCUGCUUGUUUUUUGUUUUUGACGGAUGUCUCCUCUGUGAUUUGCCAAAUAAGAGAAAGAGAGAGAGAGAGGGGGGUAGGGAGGUGGGUGGUUUAUUAUAAUAAUAAUAAUGUGUUUGUUCAUGCCCAAAAAGAAAGAUAAAAAAAAAAAAAAAAACACAGAGUACCAUCUCUGUGAACUUUGUAUAAUAAUGAACAAAUGCUCAGAUUCAGUUUUUUAUUGCACCACUUCUUGAUUCAAGUAUUUUUUUUAGACUUGUUCCAAGCUUUUUCAAAUAAUCAUUCAAAUGAAGACCAAGAAAUAAAUAUGAUUUAAUGGUAAAAUAAAUAUUAAAAUUUUAAAUUUUAAAUUAAAAUUAUGAUUUUAAUUUUAAUUUCUAAUUUGAAACUAAUUUUUCGAUUUUUAAAUAAAAUUUUAAUUUUUAAAUAAUAUAUAAAUUACUAUUUUUAUUUUUAUAAUUAUUUUAAAUUUUAAUAAUUUAUAAAUUGUAUAUUUAUGACGUCACCGGUUCGACCGUCGGUCCAACCAAUGAACCGUGAACCGGUAACUUUUCCGGUUCAAUAACCGAUCCGGUUAUUAAGCAUGUUAGGAAUAAAUAGAAUUUAUAUGGCUAAGGUUUAAAACUAUGUUUUGAUGUUAUACAAAUUAAUUGUGAAUUUUCUUUAAUAUUUGUGAUGAUUAGAGCGAAGAAAAAUCGUUGUGUGGAUUGUUGAAAAUUAUGAAACAUAAUGGAAGUAAAUAGAAUUAUGUCUUGAAAAAUUAUAAAUGUUAAAAUAUGAUUUGAUUGCAUUUCAUAUGCAUCAUGGUUGUGUGAAAUGGAAAUGAUAAUGAAAAGACCAUGAAAAGAGCAAAAGUGAAAAAAGGAAAAAGAAAAAUGAGAAAUAAAAUGACCCCAAAGAGAGCAAAUUUAGAGUGGAAUGAGAUCCCUAGGGUAAAAGACUCAAAAGUUUACCAUAGAAAGACUCCGAAUGGGAAGUAUAUUUGGGUAAAGCCCAAUAACGACAGUGCAUUGCGUGUAAGCACUUGCAUCAUGAUUGCAUUUACAAAAAGAAUUUGUAUUAUUUAUCAAGUAUAUACUUGAAUAUAUUAUUCAAGACUAAAAUGACUUAUUUAUUUUGAAAUUUUAGAAUUAUUGAUAUGCUAGACAUAUGAUUGAAUAAAAAAAAUGAUAAUUUUGAUUGGUUUAAAUUUGUAUGGUUGGGGUUUCUUUUAGUGUGUAUGAUGUAAAUAUAAUAUUAUAUUUUGACAUAUAGUUGUAUUUUAUUAACCUAGAAAUUCUUACUCGUUUGGGUGUAAAACAAUCUAUUGAACAAUGUGGAAAUGUUCACCCUUUUAUUAUCUAAAAUUCUUAGAUGCAGAUAUAGUUCUGAAGAAUUACAUGAAGAACAUGAAGUCUUCCAAAGAGCCCCAUAAAGUAAAAGAGCCAUAAUAUUGUUUGUUUUUCACUUAUAUUACUUUUUUGAAAUGUAUUAAUUUGAGUUAUAUGGACUUUUGUAACUUAAAUUAUGUUUUGUUAGUUUGUAAAACAUUUUUGGACAUAUUUUUUUUACUUAGAGAUUAUUGUAACUAUUUGGGUUAUCACAUGAGGUGGAAAAAGGACAGACGGAUUGAUUAUACUUGUGAAUAGGAGAUAGUGUGAUGGUUGGUUUUGAAAAAAUAAAAUAAUAUGUUGUAGUAAAUUUUAGCUUAAUAAAUUUAUUUGGGAUUAGAUGUUUUAUUGAAAAAAAAAAAAAAAAAACAAUGUGUUUCGAUUAAUUGUCAGCGUGGAUAUGAGUAAUGUUAGGGUCAAAACCUUUUAUCAGGGCUCACAAGUCGAGUUAUAGGUUGCCCAAGAAUUUGGAAUGUGAGACCCACUGCCGCCGACGAUCAACAUCUCCCACACCUUUCAGAAGAUGGUGUUUCAGCUCAAAACAUUAAGAGUACUAUCGUUAUACUGGCCCUCCAUGAAAACAAAAUUCAGCACCAUCAACAAGCCUACUUUCGUCUACAACGCCGAUGCGUAUUAGGCUUUUCCCACCAUCUUGGAGUUCGGUUCGGGUCCCUCGGUCAAGAGAUCGUCCAUCAUGAACACCGUCGUCGACUUGUUGGUCAUGGCGGCCUCAGCAACUCUCACGGCGAUGGAUUCCGAGGCGCUGACAAUGUCGUGGAAGUAGAAGUGGAGGUGGCUGAGCUUCUCUUCGUUGAGACCCAUCGAUAUGGGAGAAAUUUUUUUGGAGAAACGGUGGGAUUCCUCGCUGGAGCCACGGCGGCAGCAAUGGUGGAGAAGAAGAUAGUGAAAAUGAUGAGAGGUUUCGCCAUGGUGGAGAAGAAUUAAACAAAGGUGGAAAAAAUUUCGACGUCAACCAUACCUUCUUAUAAAUAUAUGAAUGAUGGCAAAAAAAAUAUUUAGCUUCAUUAUUUAUUUGUGGGUUUAAUAUAUUUUAAACUCUCAACCCAUCCCGUGUUGUUUGGCACAUUGACCCUUUAGGACCCAAACUUCUUAAAUUAUAGUGCUCUACCUUUUUUUUGUUAGAUAAUAUAAACUUCUUAAAUUGCAACACUCUACCUUUUUCAUUAGUCAGUGUUAAUUUAAGUGAACAAAAAUCUCGUGUUGUAUACGUGACUGACUAAUGAAGGGUAAAUUUAUAAAUUCUCAAACCAAAACAUUAAACAGAUUGCCCCCAUACCAAUCCUUCGUUUAUUUAAAAUAAUUUUCAUAUUCAUUCCAUUUAAAAAAUUAAAUGAAGUAGAGUGGAACAGGUAUCAAAAAAAUUUACCCAUUACUAUUUCUCAGUAAAAUGUAUAAAAAUAGACUUAUAUUAUAAAUAAAAAUAUAUUUGUUUAUUCUUAAUUAAAAUAAUCAAAAUUGAAAAUAUUUAAAAUUCUGACAUUAAUAAAUAUUAUUUGGGAGUAGUUUUAAAUAAUUGUUUCGUAUGUAGUCAUUUAUAUGGUUAUACAUAAGAGAAAUGGAUCUUAUAAUAAAAUUUCAUAAAAUAUUUUUAAAAAAAAUGUAUAGAGACAUUCGUUGACUUAAAAAAGAAAAAAGAAAAAAAGGAAAGAGCUGAAACUUGAUGAGCGGCGUGGAUUAGUUGGGCCUUUGGAAAUUCCAAAUUUGGGUUUUUGAUGAUUCCCGGCACUUUAUGGGGUGGUGGUCCUAACGCAUUAGAGGAAGGUGACGCUCACGUGUCUUUUCUUUUCCUUCCGAUGAGGAAAGCUGCAAAUGUUAGGGACGGUUGGAUCAAAUAUGAAGAGCAGAUGAUGCCACGUGGAAAGUACAAAGAAAAAGGGCAAAUCACCUAAUGAUAAUUGUUGGGAAUGUUGGUCCCUUUUGAUAACGAAUAUACUAAAAAUGUCAUUCGAUUAAAAGCUCUUAAGCAUUUAAUGCACUUUACUUUUUGUUAGGACAUUUAUAUUGCGUGGAUCUCAUAUUUAUGAUAAUUAUUAACAUUUAAAUUUUAAAUUAAAAUUUUGAUGAUAAUAUAAUUUGUUAUUUAAAUUUACUAUUUAAAACAAAAAUACUUUUAAAAAAUAUUUUGAUGUUUAAAUUUGUUAUUUUAAUCCUUACAACUUUACUAACUUAAUAUACAAAUAUUCAAUCAUAUAACAUAUAAUUAUUCAAUGGAAUAACACGCUAACUAUUCAUUAAGUAAUAUAACACGUGAAAAAAUUAAAUAAAAAUAAAUUAAAUUAUUGUAAUAUAUUAUAAUAUUAAUGUAUUUAUGUUGCAAGUAUAAUACAAUUACGUCUUACUUAUAUUUUAUUACAAAAAUAAUAAUUUUAAAAUGUUUAUUUAUAUCUUAUUGGUAUUAAUAUAUUAGUAUAUUAACAUCAUUUACAAAUUAUUUAAUAAUUUGUGUAUAUAUAUAUAAUAAAAAAAAAUCAUGAGUCUUAUAAAUUCAAAAUAAUGUUUUAUUUGGUUUUAAAAGUGAUUCAUAAUAUAAAUAUAUUAUGAAAUAUGGUAUGAUCAUUACAAACUUUUACUAUUAUAAAAAAUGUUUAAAAAUUUUUUAAUUAAAUUUUAUUAUAAUAAAAGUGUAUUUAUAUUCUAAUUAUAACAUAUUUUGAUUUGUAUCUUAUAAUAAAAGUAAUAAUCUCAUGGGAAGGUGACGCUCACGUCUCCUUUCUUUUCCUUCCGAUGAGGAAAGCUGCAAAUGUUAGGGACGGUUGGAUCAAAUAAGAAGAGCAAUGAUGCCACGUGGAAAGUACAAAGAAAAAGGGGGAAUCACAUAAUGAUAAUCAUUGGGAAGGGUGCUCAAAAGCUUUUAACGCCCAUUUGUGGCGCGUGGACCUCAUAUUUAUGGUAAUUAUUAACCUUCAAAUUUUAAAUCAAGAUUUUGAUGAUAGUAUAAUUUAUUAUUUAAAUUUAUUAUUUAAAAUAAAAAUACUUCUAACAAACAUUUUGAUGUUGUUUAAAUUUUUUAUUUUAAUAUUUACAACUUUAUUAACUUAAUAUACAAAUAUUCAAUUAAAUAACACAUCAUUUUUUAACGGAAUAACAUGUAAUUAUUUAUUGGAUAAUAUAACAUGUGAAAAAAUUAAAUAAAAAUAAAUUAUAUUAUAUUAUAAUAUAUUGUAAUAUUAAUAUCUUUGUGUUGUAAGUAUAAUGCAUUUAUGUCAUACUUAUAUUUUAUUAUAAAAGUAAUAAUUUUUAAAAUACUUAUUUAUAUCUUAUUGGCAUUAACAUAUCAUUAUCAGUAUAUUAACAUCAUUUACCCAAUAUAUUGAAAUUAUUUAAUAACUUUUGUGUAUAUAUAUAUACAUAAAAUAAAUAAAUAAAUAAAUAAAAAAAACCAUGACUUUCAUGAAUUCAAAAUAGGUUUCAGAAAUGAUUCAUAAUAUAAAUAUGUUAUGAAAUAUGAUAUGAUUAUACAAAACUAUAACUUUUAUAAAUAAAAAGUUUAAAAUUUUUCUAAUUAUGUUUUAUUGUAAUGAAAGUGUGUUUAUAUUAUAAUUAUAACAUAUUUUGAUCAUAAGUGUAUUUUAUAAUAAAAAUAAUAAUCUUAUAGAUCACUUUUUAUACUUCAUUAAUAUUUAAUAUAUCAUAUGUAUUAAUAUCAUCCACUCGAUGUAUUGAGAAAAAAAAUGAUCAAAAAAUUAUAUACGAAAAUUAAGAAAAAAACAUUAUGCAAAGAAAAAAAAAUAGAAAUAUCAUACAAAUUUUUAAAAAUUAUUUUAUUAUAAAAAAUAAAAAAAGAUCAAACAUUCUCCAUUUUCUUAUUCUUUUUAGAUAAUUCAAAUUAAAAAUUAAGUAAUGUAUCUUCCUCGAAUUCAAUACAAAAACAUAAUUUAUUAGUUUAAAAUUAGAAAAAUAUAUAUGAAAAAAUCAUUAUUUUUAUUAUAUAAUUAUAAAACUUUCUUAAUAAAAAAAUGCACAAAAAAAAACUAAUUAAAUAUUACUUAAAAAUAUUUUUUAAAAGUAUUUUUGCUUUAAAUGGUAAAUUUAAAUAACAAAUUAUACAAUCAUUAUAUAUAAUAAUUGUAAGGAUUAAAUCCAAAAUUUUGAUUUAAAAUGUGAACGUCAAUAAUUACAAUAAAUGUGAGACUCAUAUACCAUAAAUGUCCUAACAAAAAAAUAAGUGUUUUAUAUGGUUUAAAUUUUAAAAGUUUUAAUUGAAAUGCAUUUUUGGUAUUUCAAAAUAUUAUUGUCCAGUAAUUAUCCUAUUUAACCCACCUAUCCGUAAUUCUCCCAAAGAAAAAUCUAAAGAUGAAAAUCGAGUGCGUGAAGGGCCUUCGACAUGCCUACCAUCCUAUCAGCCUAUAAUUAAUCAUGAAUCUUGAGAAUUUUUAUUUAUUUAUUUUUUUCCUUCCAAAUUUCGACAUGUUUAUUAAAUUAGCAGCAAAAUAUGUGGAAUAAGCAAAUAAUUUAAAACUUUCCCAUUCAUGAUGUCCAAAUUUAAAAACGAAAAAGCAUAAAAUUAUCGGAAAGAAAACAAAGAAAAAGCUAAGACAGAAUUGCAGGAAUCAGUAAUGAAAGACAUAAACAUUAUACUCCACAACAACAUCUCCUGUUUUGGGAUUGAAGGUGUGAGUCCUCGCCUGAGCAUACCCACGAGCAAAUCGGAAAAGCCCACUGCCGCCGACGAUCGACAUCUCCCGCACCUUUGAAAAGAUAGUGUUUCGACCCAAAACACUGAGAGUACUGCCGUUGUACUUGCCCUCCAUGAAAGCAAAAUUCAGCACCAUCAAGAAGCCCAUUUCCUCCUGCGACGCCGAUGCGUAUAUUCCUUGGGCUCUUCCUACCAGCUUGGAGCUGGGCUCGGGUCCCACAGUCAAGGGAUCGUCCAUCAUAAGCACCGCGCCGAACACUGUCGCCGACUUGUUGGUCAUGGCGGCCUCAGCGACUCUCACGGCGGUGGGUUUCGGGCCGCUGAUUAUGUCGUGGAAGUAGAAGUGGAGGUGGCUGAGCUUCUCUUCCUUGAGGCCUAUCGAUUCCGGAGAAAGGUUCCUGGAGAAACGGUGGGAUUCCCCGCUGGAGCCGGAGGCCGCGACGGCGGCAAUGGUGGAGAAGAAAAUAGUGAAAAGGAUGAGGAGUUUUGCCAUCGUGGAGAAGAAACAAAGAUGGAAAAAGUUUUUGUGUCUACCUGCGCAACCAUACCUUCUUAUAAGUGUAUGGAUGAAGACAAAUAAAAAAAUAAAAAAUAAAAAAUAUUUAGCACCAAGCCUAAUAGUGUCACCGACACUUACGGGUGGUCGAGUUCUCGAGGCUUAGGAUGUCGUGGAGUCACUAAGCAUCCAAUGCUUGAGGCCCAAAAACAUAUAAAUUUUAACACAUAUAAUAAAUAAUAAAUCAAGAUUAUAAAAAAUAAAAUUAUUUGGCUUAGUUAGAUAUUUGAAAACAUGCUAUCCUAAAAUCACUACCAUUUCCCUGCAUGUAAUUUUAAGAUACAACUUCAAUAGACUCAUAAUAAUAUUUCCUCAACAAGCAUAUUAGACACGAAAACUAAGAAGAAUCCAUUGAAAAUUAAGUUACCCAAAAAAAAAAUGAACAUUUAAGAUGAAAAAACACGAUUGUAUAAAAAGUUAGGAAUAGUGGAAAAAACCAUAAUGAUAUAUGAAAACAUAUUUUUGUAUUAGAUUUAUCUUAUCUUUAAAAUGAAUUGAAUUACUCUUUAUAUAACAAUAUUUGUUGACUUCCUAAUUCAAUUUUGAUGGUGAUCAGUGUGGCCAUUGCAACUUUUUAACUAAAGUCCAAGUUAUAAAUCACGAGUCUUGUCAAUUGGAACAUUCUCGAAAAUCUCAAUUAUUAGAUGUGGAUUUUCAGAAGUACCUAUUUGCGUAUGGUACCUUGAUGCUAUGCUUCUCUUUAAAGGGUACUAAGUGGACAAGGACCUAUUUUUUGUACCAUCGAUAUAUAAAUAUUUUAUAAUAAUUUUAAAGAUAAAGGAAAAUCCUUUUUGUUAAUAAAAGAUGAUCAUUGUGUCCAUAAAGUGUCAUCAUAUUAAGACUCACAAAUCCUCAACAUUUGGAGAAAUUUAAAGUUGUUGAAUUACUUAUUAUAUAUAAAAUUUAAUUUCCAACAAAGGGGUUUAUGGAAACAUAGUGGGAUUCCAUACCGCCACCCGUGGAUAAAAAGAAUAUUGUGAAGGAAGAUGAGGGUUUUACGCAUAAUGGAUAAAAAGUAGAGUAGAAAAGCAAAAAUCUAUCGGUUGGAGUGGGCUUGUUAUCAAAGUAUGGUUUUAAAUAAAAUGUAUUGAAUACAACUUUCAAAAGGUGUUUGACUUUAUUAUUAGCAAGUUUGAAGGGAUUGAAUUGCACAAUUUCAUGCUUAACGAUGAAAUCAUACUCUUCAAAUUUUGUCUAAUAAUGUUCAAGUAAUUUUCAUGAAAAUAUAAUCUAAUUAUAAACAAAUAAAAGUGGGACAAUUAAUUUUUCACCUUUUUUUCGAACAUGUCUAAAAGUCAUUCUAAAAACUAUGUGCAUAUAAAUUGUAAAGCUAUUAUAAAAAAAGUAUAAUUUUAUUUUACAUAUUUAAAACUUAUUUUCAAAUUUAAAGUAAUAAUUGUUUUUUAUAUUCCAAAUUUUUAAACAGGUUUUAAAAAUAAUAUUUUAUUACUAUUUUCUAAUUUUAAAAACAAAAAUCAGCAAAUAUAUCCAAACCAAAAUUAAUUUUUUUCUUAAAUUUCUCAUAAAUAACUAUGAAAGACAGGGAUUCAGUUUUUGGCCAUGGUGGAAAAUUAACAAAGAGAAUGUUAAAAAAAAAAAAAAAAACAAAGGGACAAGAAAAAAGACCUAAAGAAAUAUUCACAGACUGGUUAAUAUUUAUACCUUGUUUAUAAGCCCAAAAUUAGUUUUUCUUUGACUGAUUUUUACAAUUUUACCUCUAAAAGCACGCCCCAAAAGGUGACGCUCACGUUUCUUUUCUAUUUUUUCUUUUCUUUUUCUUUUCCUUUUUCUUUUUUUGUCUUUUCCUUUCCUUCCAACGGCGAAAACAUUAUCUGUUAUGGACCGUUGGAUCAAAUAUGAAAGAAUAGAUGAUGCCACGUGGAAAAAACAAAGGAAAGCAAAAUCUAACGACGAAACAUUGACUGCUCAGAGAAAUUGAGGUCAUAAAAAAAUAUUAUUGAUUUAAUAAUUUAAUUUAAGUUAUUAAAUAAAUUAAAUAUAUGUGAACAAAUAAUUUAAUGAUAUAAAUUAAAAUAAAAAAUAAAGUUAAAUAAUAAAUAAAAAUAAUUAACUUAUUCUUAAAAUUAUAUUUUUAUUUUACCUUUUUACUCUCAUUUAUCCUAAUUAUUUUUAAGAUCUCUUUUGUCUUUACUUAACCUCAUUUACCCUAAUUAUAAUUUACAAUGAUAAAUAUGUCAAUUUGAUAAUUUUAAGUUAAUUUUAUCAAACAAUCUUAAUACUUAUAAAUAAAUUUAAGUAUAAUUUAACUUAAGUUAUUAAGUAAUAAGUAUUAAGUUUAAUCAUAUACUCUUAAAUCUUACACUAAUUAAAGGAAACAAAAUAUAAAAAAAUCUCUAAGUUUGGAUUUAUUUUCUAUUUUUUUAUUAGAAACUUCCAUAUAAAACCAAAUAUAUUGUAUAAAAAGUAAAGAUUUAUUUUAUAUCUUUAAAAAUUAUUUUAGAAAUUCAAAAUUUGAGAUAGGAAUUUUUUUUAAUAUCUCAAAUUUUUAAAUAGUUUUUAAAAUUAAUAUUUUUAUUUCAACGUAAACAUUUAAGAGUUCUUGUAUAGUAUAUAAAAAUAAUUUUUCAAUUUUAAAAACAAAAGAGAACACUAUAAUUUUUAUUUUUAUUUUAAAAUAAAAAUAGUAAUAACCUUUAUUUUGCAAAAAGUUAACAAUUGGGAUAUUAAAAAAACUUUAUUAUCUCAAAUUUUUAAACUUAAAAUAAUAUUGUGGACCCCUUAUUUUGGUUCGAUACAUUCCCACUCUAUGGCGAAACUCGCUUUUUAUUUGUUUGGUGAAAAUUUGAUUUUUAGAAAAAUACUUUUUGAGUGACCAUUUAUUUUUGUUUUAUUUUUUAAGGGAAAAACAAAAUAAGAAAGAAAAACCCUAAGUAUAACUCCUGAAGAAAAAAAAAAAUAGGUCUGUGAAAAACCGAAUCUGGGUCCGAGGAUCAUGUUAUUUAUUGGAAAAGUACGGUGGUGAGUCGUAGCACCCCUCUAAGCCCCUAAAAAUGGGUUUUUACUAAAUAAAGUAAGACGAGUGUGACAAUUGAUAUGGAAAUCAAUGGAUACCCACAAUGACCAUAGGCAAAAAACAAGUCAUUAUAAUGAAUUAAUAAACAAAGUGAGAGUAAGAGCGUACUUUGCCUGUAGGUAAUAAAGCGCUAUCAUGGAAAUAAGGUUAGCUCAAAUAUAAAAUUAUUACAUACAUAUCAAAGAGUAAAACAAAGAUCAAGUAAUAUUCAUUAAGUAUAGUAGUUGACAAUCAAAAGAGAAAACUCAUAUGUGGGGCCCCCACCAAAGCUCAAUUUAUCUUGCAUGAAUUGGUCUCACAAAUUCUAUUAUUUUGGAAUUAUGAAAAAAUUACUUAUUUAAAAUCAAGAGAAACAGAAAAUUAUUUGAAAAUCGAAGAAAAUUUGUACAAGCACAUACCAAAAUGAGAAUGGCAGCAGACUUAUUAAAAUCAGGAUUUUUGGCAACCUAAAACCCUAAUAAAUGAUGACAAGUUGCAGAAUUGAAAAAAUAUUUCACAACUGGAGUGGAAUAAAACUAUUCGGAAGAAAAUUAGAGUUUUGAAUUUAACUUGAAAAUUGAAGUCUCGAAAAUUAUUUGAAAAUUGAAGUUUUGAAAAUUCAAUUUAAGAAUUGGAAUUUUGGAAAUUAAAUUUGAAGAUGAAAUUUUUUUAUAAAUAAAUAAAUAAAACAAUAAUAAUAACAAAAAUAAUAAUGACUAAAUAAAUAAAUGUAAAAAUUGGAAUUUUGGAAAUUGGAAAUCGAAUUUUUAAGAAUUAUUUAAAAAUGGAAUUUUAAAAAUAAAUAAAUAAAUAGAAUAAUAAUAAUAACGAAAAUAAAAAUGAUUAAAUAAAUAAAUGAGAAAUUUUGAAUUUUGGAAAUUGAUAAUUAAAUUUGGAAAUCAGAAUUUUGAAGAGUUAUUUAAAGAUGGAAUUUUAAAAAUGAAUAAAUAAAUAAAUAGAAUAAAAUAAUAAUAAUAAUAACGAAAAUAAUAAUGAUUAAAUAAAUAAAUGUGAAAAUUGGAAUUUUGGAAAUUGGGAAUUAAAUUUGGAAAUCGGAAUUUUGAAGAGUUAUUUAAAGAUGAAAUUUUAAAAAUAAAUAAAUAGAAUAAUAAUAAUAAUGAUUAAAUAAAUAAAUGUGAAAAUUGGAAUUUUGGAAAUUGGGAAUUAAAUUUGGAAAUCAAAAUUUUGAAAAAUUAUUUAAAGAUGAAAAUUUUUAAAAUUAAAUUUGAAAAUAAUUAAAGUUUGGAACUUUUGAAAAUUAAACUUUAAAAUGGGAGUUUUGAAAAAUUAUAUUAAAAUUGGAGCUUUGAAAAAUUAAAUUAAAACUGGAGUUUUGGAAAAUUAUCUUAAGAUUAAAAUUUUGAAAAUUAAAUUUUUGGCAUCAAAAGAUGAAAAAUAAGAAAAUAAUAAUAAAAAUAAGACAUAUGGCCUUAGCAUCAUUGGCCAAACGUGUACAUGCAUAAUCCAAGGAAUAAAAAAAUGGAAAAGGUGAAGCACCAACAGCACCAGUGCACCACAAACCUAUUUUCCAUAUAACAAUAAUGUCAUACCCACACCACAAACCCAUUUUCCAUGCAUAUAUUCGCCAUACCCAUCUAGGUUACAGUAAGCACCUUAAAAACCAGUUGCAACCAUAUCCCAUACCAUAACCGUCAUAUCCACCAACAAAACCCAAAGCUCAAAAUAUCAACUAUGAAGAUCAAAACCCAAUUCACGUUGAUUAUAGCAGUAAGAGAAUGGAGAAGUGGAAUGAAAACAACAAUUUGUGAGUCGUGGCAUGGGCAGGCAAACGAAGGCAUGGGUACGGGGGAGAUGAAGUGGAAUGAAAGCAGAGGGGCGAUGAACAGUGCCACGAACCGAUUGAUACCAAAAUGGGAGGAGGAGCUGGAGAAGCAGCUGCUUUUGAUGCAGCAGCAGCCACCGGAGCUUCCAUCGCUAUGGAAAGUGCUCUUAUGUAUAAUGAAAAUGAUUCGGUAAAGGUGGUAAUGGUGGACAAUGGACGGUGGUGAUAAGAGAUAGGAGUAUAGCAGUAUGGGUGUGACGACAUGGGUGUGAUGGGUAUGAAAUGAGUGGGGUAAAGUGGAAGAAAUGGUAGGUUUGCAAGGUGGCAGAAGGCAUGGGAAUUGGUUGUGAUGAAGGUGCAAUAGGGACCAUGCCGGUUUGGCCUAGAUGGUGAUCACUGCAUAACUUGAUUUUCAUGCGCGGGGCCCGGGUGAGUGGUAGACUGGGCGAAUCUUCUUUUUUGCUUCUCUCAUGGCGGUCAAGUCCCCUUUACCGUAAUCAAUUCCAGUUAAAAUGGAGAACCUUUGCUUUGAGGGUGUUUGAGGCGCACGUUGAAUGGCGUCGGAAUGGUGGCUGAGGCGCACCUUGAAUGGUGCCUCAAAUGGUGCCUUUUAAAUGCCUGAAAACGCCGCCGGAAUGACGUCAAAACCGCGUCCAUUUUGAACACCUGAACGGCGUCUUAACGACACCUGAAAUUGCCCAAGAUUUAAUUUUUUGUUGUUUCUGAUUUAAUAAAAGUUUUGGUGAAAAAUGGGAGGCUCUGAUACCAAUUGAUAAACAUUUUUUAUCUCUAUUAUCACUAACAAUACAAACAGAAAGUAUAUGUAUACCAAGCAUUCAAAUUAUGUCUUCCACUGUUGUCUAAGAACAUACCUGAGUCGAUUAUUUUUCGGCGAUGAAUACAGUAUAGAUCUUCUAAGGCUGUAGAGGACACCACCUUCUUUCUGAAUUCUCUCAGACGAUGGGAGCCGAAGAGAAACAGGUCUGUUCUAAUUCCAAAACUGAUGUGAUCUAUAUGAACAGACACACAGUCUAUUAUAUUUAUACCUUCCUGCCUUAGGGACCAUACCCUUUGGCUAUUGGGCCUCACGAGUCUUAGGCCCAUCAUCUAAGGCCUGUGAAGGCGUUGGGCUCUACACAUAAGGUGGCCCAUACUGUGGAAAACCGAUACAAAAUAAACAUUAAGACGAAUAGCUUAGUCAUGUACCAUUGUCAAAUAUGUGUGAGUCCAUAUCUUAACAAAUAUUUAAUUAUAUUGUAUUUUAAGUGAAUUUCAGAGUAAAAAUGUUUCACAUAAUUAAAGUCAAAUUAUAUUUUUUUUAAAAGCGAGUUUAUAGUAAAUUUAAUUAUGAAUACGAUAAUAUUUUUCUUGACGUGAAAAAUUAUAAGUUGUGUAUAAUUUAUAAUUAUGGAAUGAAAAUUAAAGAAUAAUGUUUUUAAUUUAUUGAGAAAGGAACACGCAUGACAUUUUGGGUUUUGUUUUAAUAAGCAUAUAUAUAUAUAUAAAAAGAAGUGGGUCGAUUGUAGGGAAGUUAAAAAAAAUGAGAGAAAUGGGAGAGAUGCGGUCGACUGAGAGUGGGAAAAGAAUCGCCUAUGAUAUACCAAAUGAAGUAUGUUUCAUGUAAAAUUUUAAAAGGAUAUUCUAUUCAACGCGAGCAACACUCUUACGAAGUCCAAUUUUCAUUUCAAUGGUUAGAUUUUCAAAUUUAAAAUAGGGAGACUUAACCCUACAACUUUUAUUUAAUGCAUUUUUCUUUAAAAACUUUAUAAAUAUCAUUGUUGGAAGUUAAAUAGGUAAUAUUUGUGAUAUGAGAAAUUUUAUUGGGUGAUUUAGGCAUUUUAUUUAGAAUUUUUGUGAUAAUGAGUAAUUUAAAUUGUUGAAAAUGAAUGUGUUUGGUUAUUAAAAAUUAUUGGGAUUAUUGAAAAUAAAUAAAAUUAUGGUAUGAAUUAUGUUUGAUUAAUAUUGGGAUUAUUGAGAAUUUAUUAAGAUGUUUUUGAUAAUUUAAUUAUAGAAAAUGAUUGUGUUUGGUUAUUAAAAAUUAUUGGGAUUAUUGAGAAUAAAUAAAAUGAUGGUAGAGAUUAUAUUUGAUUGAUAUUGGGAUUAUUGAGAAUUUAUUGGGAUGAUUUUAGUAAUUUAAUUGUGGGAAAUUGUUGUAUUGGUUAUUGAAAUUAUUGAUAUUAUUAGGAAUAAAUAAAAUGAUGAUAUGAAUUUGGGUUUUUGUUAAUAUUUGAAUUAUUAGAAAAUUUUACUUGAAUGUUGUGGUGGCUUGAUUGUGGAAAAUUGUUGUAUUGGGUGUUAAAAUUAUUGAAAUUAUUGGAGAUAAAUAAAUUAUGACAUAAAUUAUAUAUUUUUUAUAUUUGCAUUGGUGAGAAUUUUCUUGGGUAUGUGUGGUUAUGUAAUCGAAGAAAAAAUUGUUAUAUUAGUUGUUGGAAAUUAUUAAGCAUGUCGGAAUAAAUAGAAUUUAUGUGGCUAAGAUUUAAAACUAUGUUUUGAUGCUAUACAAAUUAAUUGUGAAUUUUCUUUAAUAUACAAGGUGAUUAGAGUGAAGAAAAAUCGUUGUGUGAAUUGUUGAAAAUUAUGAAACAUAAUGGAAGUAAAUAGAAUUAUGUCUUGAAAAAUAAUAAAUGUUAAAAUAUGAUUUGAUUGCAUUUCAUAUGCAUCAUAGUUGUGUGAAAUGGAAAUGAUAAUGAAAAAACCCCCAAAAGGGCAAAAAUGAAAAGAAAAGAAAAAUGAGAAAUGAAAUGACCCCAAAGAAAGCAAAUUAAGAAUAGAAUGAGAUCCUAGAGUGAAAGACUGAAAAGUUUACCAUAUGAAAACUCCAAAUGGGGAGUAUAUUUGGGUACGGGCAUCUAUCAUUCAGUGAAAGCCCGAGAACGACAUUGCAAUGUGUGAUUGCGUGUAAACAUUUGCAUCAUGAUUGCUUUUAGAAAAAUAAUUUGUAUUAUUUAUCAAGUAUAUGUUUGAAUAUAUUAUUCAAGACUAAAAUGACUUAUUUAUUUUGUAAAUUUAGAAUUAUUAAUAUUCUAAACAUAUGAUUGAAUAAGAUAAAUGAUAAUUUUGAUUGGUUUAAAUUUGUAUGGUUGGUGUUUCUUUUAGUGUGUAUAAUGUAAAUGUAAUAUUAUAUUUUGACAUAUGGUUGUAUUUUAUUAACCUAGAAAUUCUUACUCGUUUGGGUGUAAAACACUCUACCGAGCAAUAUGGAAAUGCUCACCCUUUUAUUUUCUAAAAUUCUUAGAUGCAUAUAUAGUUUUGAAGAAUUACAUAAAGAACAUGAAGUGUUCCAGAAAGCCCCAUAAAGUAAAAGAACCAUAGUAUUGCUUGUUUUUCAUUUAUAUUACAUUUUUGAAAUGUAUUAAUUUGAGUUAUAUGGACUUUUGUAACUUAAAUUACGUUUUGUUAAUUUGUAAAACAUUUUUUGAUAUAUCUUUUUUGACUUAGAGAUUAUUGUAACUAUUUGGGUUAUCACAUAAGGUGGAAAAAUGACAGGUGGAUUGAUUAUACUUGUGAACAAGAGAUAGUAUAAUAGUUGGUUUUGGAAAAAUAAAAUAAUAUGUUGCAUUAAAUUUUAGCUUAAUAAAUUUAUUUAGGAUUAGUUGUUUUAUCGAAAAAAAAAAUCAAGGUGUUUCGAUUAAUUGUUAGGCUGGAUAUGAGUAAUGACCAGGGGUCACAAGUCGAGUUCUAAGUUGCCCAAGAAUUUGGGGUGUGGGACCCACUGCUGCUGACGAUCGACAUCUCCCACACCUUUGAGAAGACGAUGUUUCGGCCCAAAACACUAAGGCUAUGUUUGGUUCCCGGAAAGUACAAAGGAAAGAAAAAAAAUGCUAAGGAAAAUGAUUUUCUCAUGUUUGGUUGUCCUAUAAAAAAUAUCAAAGAAAAUCAAAUAUAAUUAAAACUAAUUAAAAACUUAUGUAUUUUUAAAUUAUUUAAUCUUUAUAUUGAUGAGUUAAAAUAAAUAAAAUGAGUUUGAAGUAACAAAAAAAAUAAUUUAUCAACUUUUAAUCUAUUUUUUUAUUUUCCUUCACUUUUUCUUUCCUUCUACUUUUCCUUUGUAUUUUCUUUCCCUCGCAUUUUCCCUCAAAUUUUCCGGGAACCAAACAUAGCCUAAGAGUACUGUCGUUAUAUUGGCCCUCAAUGAAAACAAAAUUUAGCACCAUCAACAAGCCUACUUUCGUCUACGACGCCGAUGCGUAUAUUCCUUAGGCUUUUCCCACCAUCUUGGAGUUGGGUUCGGGUUCCUCGAUUAAGAGAUCGUCCAUCAUGAAUACCGUGCUGAACACUGUCGCCGACUUGUUGAUCAUGGCCACCUCAACAACUCUCAUGGCGGUGGGUUCCGGGCCACUGACAAUGUCGUGUAAGUAGAAGUGGAGGUGACUGAGCUUCUCUUCCUUGAGACCCAUCGAUUUGGGAGAAAAUUUUUUGGAGAAACGGUAGGAUUCCUGGCUGGAACCGCGGCGACAACAAUGGUGGAGAAGAAUUAAACAAAAGUGGAAAAAAUUUAUGCGUCCAUUUGCCGAACCAUACCUUCUUAUAAAUAAAUGAAUGAUGGCAAAAAAAAAAAUAUAUAUUUAGCUUCAUUAUUUAUUUGUGGGUUUAACACAUUUUAAACUCUCAGUUUAUCCAUGUUGUUUUGCACAUUGACCCUUUAGGUUUAAAAUCGAACUCUUUAUACCCCAGACUUCUUAAAUUAUAGUGUUCUACUUUUUCUCGUUGGACAAUGCAAACUUCUUAAGUUGCAAUACUCUACCUUUUUCAUUGGUAGGUGUUAAUUUAAGUGAACAAAAAUCCGAUGUUGUAUAUGUGACUGACUAAUGUAAGGUAAAUUUAUAAAUUCUCAAACCAAAAAAUUAAACAAAUUGCCUUCAUACCAAAUCUUCGUUUAUUCAAAAUAAUAUGUUUAUUUAUUUAUAAUUAAAAUAAUCGAAAUUGAAAAUAUUUAAAAUUACGACAUUAAUAAAUAUCAUUUGGGAGUAAUUUUCAAAAAUGGUUUCGUAUGUAGUCAUUUAUAUGGUUAAACAUAAGAGAAAUGGAUCUUAUAAUAAAAUUUCAUAAACUAUUAAAAAAAAUGUAUAAAGACAUUCGUUGACUUACUUGAUGAGCGGCGUGGAUUUCGGAAAUUCCAAAUUUGGGUUUUUGAUGAUUCCCUGCACUUUAUGGGGUGGUGGUCCUAACGCAUUAGAGGAUGGUGACGCUCACCUGUCUUUUCUUUUCCUUCCGAUGAGGAAAGCUGUAAAUGUUAGGGACGGUUGGAUCAAAUAUGAAGAGCAGAUGAUGCUACGUGGAAAGUACAAAGAAAAAGGGGGAAUCACCUAAUGAUAAUUAUUGGGAAGGUUGGUCCCAUUUGAUAACGAAUAUACUAAAAAUGUCAUUAGAUUAAAAAGCUUUUAAAAUUUAAAGCAUUCAAGGGACUUCACUUUUUGUUAGGACAUUUAUGGUGCAGGACCUCAUAUUAAUGGUAAUUAUUGACAUUAAAAUUUUAAAUCAAGAUUUUGAUAAUAGUAUAAUUUAUUAUUUAAAUUUACUAUUUAAAACAAAAAAUAUUUUGAUCGUUAAAUUUGUUAUUUUAAUCCUUACAACUUUAUUAACUUAAUAUACAAAUAUUCAAUUGAAUAACACAUAAUUAUUCAAUGAAAUAACACGUAACUAUUCAUUGGAUAAUAUGAUAUGUGAAAAAAUUAAACAAAAAAAUAAAUUAAAUUAUAUUAUAAUAUAUUGUAACAUUAGUGUAUUUAUGUUGUAAGUAUAAUGCAUUUAUGUCAUACUUAUAUUUUAUUACAAAAAUGAUAAUUUUUAAAAUGCUUAAUUUUAUCUUAUGGUAUUAACGUAUCAUUAUCAGUAUAUUAACAUCAUUCACCUAACAUAUUGAAAUUAUUUAAUAACUUUUAUGUAUAUAUAUAUAUAUAUAUAUAUAAUAAAAUAAAAAAAGCUAUGAGUCUCAUGAAUUCAAAAUAAUAUUUUAUUUGGUUUUAGAAGUGAUUCAUAAUAUAAAUGUGUUAUGAAAUAUGGUAUGAUCAUACAAAACUAUAACUUUUAUAAAAAAAAAGUUUAAAUUUUCCUAAUUAGGUUUUAUUGUAAUGAAAGUGUAUUUAUAUUAUAAUUAUAACAUAUUUUGAUCGUACAUGUAUUUUAUAAUAAAAGUAAUAAUGUUAGAGAUCACUUUUUAUACCUUAUUAAUAUUUAACAUAUAAUAUGUAUUAACAUCAUCCACUCUAUCUAUCAAGGAAAAUAUAUAUAUAUAUAUAUACAUAUAUAUGAAAAUUAAGAAAAAAUAUUAUGCAAAAGAAAAAAAAAUGGAAAUAUCAUAUAAAUUUUUUAAAAUUAUUUUCUUAUAAAAAAUAAAAAACAAUUAAACAUUCUCUAUUUUCUUAUUCUUUUUAGAUAAUCCAAAUGAAAAAUUAAGUAAUCGAUCUUCCUUGAAUUUAACACAAAAAUAUAAUUUAUUAAUUUUAAAUUAGAAAAAUACAUAUGAAAAAAUCAUUAUUUUUAUUAUAUGAUUGUGAAACUUUCUUAAUAAAAAAAUUAGAAUAAAAAUAAAAAAUGUAAAAAAAACACAUUAAAUGUUAUUUUAAAAUAUUUGUUAGAAAUAUUUUUGUUUUAAAUAGUAAAUUUAAAUAACAAAUUACAUCAUCAUCAUAUAUAAUAAUGGUAAUGGUUAAAUCUAAAAUUUAAACGUCAAUAAUUACAAUAAAUGUUGGACUCAUGUACCAUAGAUGUCCUAACAAAAAAUUAAGUCAUUUUAAAUAUUUUAAAUUUUAAAAAUUUUAGUUGGAAGGCAUUUUUGAUAUUUCAAAAUAUUAUUGUCCUUUCGAUUACACCCUUUCCAGUAAUUAUCCUAUUUAACCCACCUAUCCGUAAUUAUCCCAAAGAAAAUCGAGUCCUUGAAGGGCCAUCGACAUGCUAGGUACCAUCCUAUGAGCCUAUAAUUAAUCAUGAAUCUUAAGAAUUUUUUAUUUUUUAUUUUUAUAUUUUUUUUCCUUCCAAAUUUCGACAUGUUUAUUAAAUUAGCAGUAAAAUAUGUGGAAUAAGCAAAUAAUUUAAAAUUUUCCCAUUCAUGAUUCCAAAUUAAAAAACGAAAAAGCAAUAAUUAUCGGAAAGAAAACAAAGAAAAAGCUAAGACAGAAUUGCAGGAAUCAGUAAUGAAAGACAUAAACAUUAUACUCCACAACAACAUCUAGAUUGAAGGUGCGAGUCCUCGCCUGAGCAUACCCACGAGCAAAUCGGAAAAGCCCACUGCCGCCGACGAUCGGCAUCUCCCGCACCUUUGAAAAGAUAGUGUUUCGGCCCAAAACACUGAGAGUGCUGCCGUUGUACUUGCCCUCCAUGAAAGCAAA